UACGAAGGGGGGCUAGCGUUGUUCGGAAUUACUGGGCGUAAAGCGCACGUAGGCGGAUACUUAAGUCAGGGGUGAAAUCCCGGGGCUCAACUCCGGAACUGCCUUUGAUACUGGGUAUCUCGAGUCCGGAAGAGGUGAGUGGAAUUCCGAGUGUAGAGGUGAAAUUCGUAGAUAUUCGGAGGAACACCAGUGGCGAAGGCGGCUCACUGGUCCGGUACUGACGCUGAGGUGCGAAAGCGUGGGGAGCAAACAGG
rnacentral:rRNA from 1 species